rnacentral:rRNA from 1 species
GUGUCAGCCGCCGCGGUAAUACGUAGGCAGCAAGCGUUGUUCGGAAUUAUUGGGCGUAAAGAGUGCGUAGGCGGUGUUCCAAGUCUGUCGUGAAAUCUCCCGGCUUAACUGGGAGGGUGCGGCGGAAACUGGGAUGCUAGAGGGUGGGAGAGGUAAGCGGAAUUCCUGGUGUAGCGGUGAAAUGCGUAGAUAUCAGGAGGAACACCUGUGGUGUAGACAGCUUACUGGACCACUUCUGACGCUGAGGCACGAAAGCGUGGGUAGCAAACAGGAUUAGAUACCCUUGUAGUCC